CUCAGUACAAAACUAUUGAGGAAGAAAGCUUUUCAUCUUCACCUAGUCUGCCUAUUAUGUUUUUAUGCUUUUUCUCAUAAAAAGAGAAAAUGAAAUCAGCAAGUACAAUGACAGGUAAAGACAGAUGCAGUAUACAAGAAGACCGUGAACCUGUGAUUUGGGAAACCUGAAUUUAGGAAGUCUGGACUCUCAUCCCUGACACUAGCUAGCAGCUGAAUUUAGGAGAGUCACUUAAACUAUUUGUUUCUUUGUUUUCUUAUUUGUUUGAAAUGUGUGUUUUUUCUCAUAACCCUGCUUUUAAAUAAGUCUAUAAAUGCAGGGACACUGGUGUUAUGUCUUAUUUUUCUCUGUUUCCCAUGUGGCUUAGUAGUAAAUACUAAAAGUUCAAUUCAAGUUCUUUCAAAUAAUUAAGCUCACAGAUAAAAUAAGAAUUUCCACCAAACUACUAAGAUUUCUUUAAUAUAUAAAUAUUGCUUUAGGAAGUAUUGAUUUUAGAACAAUUUUUAUGGGAAUAAAAUAAAUAGCUAAUAAAUCUGGAAUUUGUUUUAUAUUUAGGCAUUUUUUAAUGUGUUUUACAUGCAUCUAUCUCAUUUAAUGCUUUUAACAAUGCUACAACUAAAAAGUAGUCAGGUGUAGACUGAAGCUUCACCCAAAGAAUUUAGGACAGACCUUCAGUUUAUUUAAGUUCUUCCCAUUAAAGUAAAAACUCCAUCACACAACCUCAAUUCUAAAUAAGUUACUAUCUUU
rnacentral:lncRNA from 1 species